GAACUGGAAGCACAGUAAUGUGUGGAGGUGACUGGUACUAAUAGGCCGAGGACUUACCACAA
rnacentral:rRNA from 1 species